rnacentral:rRNA from 1 species
UGCGUAGGCGGCACAACAAGUUAGAGGUGAAAGACCUGGGCUCAACCUGGGGAUUGCCUAUAAGACUGUUGAGCUUGAGUGCAGUAGAGGGCAGAGGAAUUUCCGGUGUAGCGGUGAAAUGCGUAGAUAUCGGAAAGAACAUCAGUGGUGAAGACGUCUGCCUGGGCUGAAACUGACGCUGAGGCACGAAAGCGUGGGUAGCGAACA